AUUGAACGCUGGCGGCAUGCCUUACACAUGCAAGUCGAACGGCAGCGGGGACUUCGGUCCGCCGGCGAGUGGCGAACGGGUGAGUAAUGUAUCGGAACGUACCAUUCAGUGGGGGAUAACUAUCCGAAAGGAUAGCUAAUACCGCAUAUUCUGUGAGCAGGAAAGCAGGGGAUCGCAAGACCUUGCGCUGAUUGAGCGGCCGAUAUCAGAUUAGCUAGUUGGUGAGGUAACGGCUCACCAAGGCUACGAUCUGUAGCGGGUCUGAGAGGAUGAUCAGCCACACUGGGACUGAGACACGGCCCAGACUCCUACGGGAGGCAGCAGUGGGGAAUUUUGGACAAUGGGCGCAAGCCUGAUCCAGCCAUGCCGCGUGAGUGAAGAAGGCCUUCGGGUUGUAAAGCUCUUUCGGCCGGGAAGAAAUCGCAUCAGCUAAUACCUGGUGUGGAUGACGGUACCGGAAUAAGAAGCACCGGCCAACUACGUGCCAGCAGCCGCCGUAACAC
rnacentral:rRNA from 1 species